AGGACGAACGCUGGCGGCGUGCUUAACACAUGCAAGUGGAGCGACGAACCAGGGCUUGCCCUGGGGCAGAGCCGCGAACGGGUGAGUAACACGUGGGUUACCUGCCUCGAUGACCGGGACAACCCGAGGAAACUCGGGCUAAUACCGGAUGUGCCCGCAAGGGGAAAGGAAGCUUCGGCCUCCGCAUCGAGAUGGGCCCGCGGCCCAUUAGCUUGUUGGUGAGGUAACGGCUCACCAAGGCUUCGAUGGGUAGCUGGUCUGAGAGGACGAUCAGCCACACUGGGACUGAGACACGGCCCAGACUCCUACGGGAGGCAGCAGUGGGGAAUCUUGCGCAAUGCGCGAAAGCGUGACGCAGCAACGCCGCGUGGGGGAAGAAGGCUUUCGGGUUGUAAACCCCUUUCAGUUGGGACGAAGCUUCUCCGGUGAAUAGCCGGAUGGAGUGACGGUACCUUCACAAGAAGCACCGGCUAACUACGCGCCAGGAGCCGCGGU
rnacentral:rRNA from 1 species